AAUGGAGCUGGGGAGGAAUUUGUUUGGCAAAAUGCAAUAAAUUCACUUUAGUGGGCAAUAAUCAAAUAUUCUCUGAGUGAGAACCACUGCCCUCAUCCUGAUUGCCUUUACUCAGUGAGUAAAUUUCCCUUACUCAGGGAGCAAUAACCAAAUCCCCUCUGAGGGCACUUGGUGUAAAUCCUGAUUUCCUUUACUCAGUGAGUAAAUUUCCCUUACUCAGGGAGCAAUAACCAAAUCCCCUCUGAGGGCACUUGGUGUAAAUCCUGAUUUCCUUUACUCAGAGUGAUUUACAAAUUCACUGGCACAGCUGUGGAAAUUUGGGUUCCCCUGGCUGAGGUGACAAAACUCAGGUGUCCCACUCUGGUAAAAGAUUUACACAGCAAUAAUUUUUAUUUUUUUAAAUUGGAGGUCACCUCACCAUGGAAAUAACCAAAGCAGGGAGGCAGCACAGCCCCGGGCCAGGCACAGCCCCAGCCCUGGCACCAGCUGCAUUUUGGGGGGAAAACCUGGGAAAAGGAAGGGGAGCAGGAAAUCCAGGCUCAGAUGGUCCUGGGAAGUCUCUUUAAAUAGAGCUGGGGAUGAAUUUGUUUGGCAAAAUGCAAUAAAUUCACUUUAGUGGGCAAUAAUCAAAUGUUCUCUGAGUGAGAACCACUGCCCUCAUCCUGAUUUCCUUCACCCAGGGAGCAAUAACCAAAUCCCCUCUGAGGGCACUUGGUGUAAAUCCUGAUUUCCUUUACUCAGUGAGUAAAUUUCCUUUACUCAGAGUGAUUUACAAGUUCACUGGCACAGCUGUGGAAAUUUGGGUUCCCCAACUCAGGUGCCCCACUCUGGUAAAUUAUUUACACAACAGUAUUUUAAUUUAUUUAUUUAUUAAAUUCCGUUUAAAAAUUUAAAUUCUGUUUGCAAUAUUUAACUUUCAAAUACACCUCAUCAUGGAAAUAACCAAACCUUCCUGAGGGCAGGCAGGGAUUUGCAUUCCUGGCACUCAGCUGUACUGAUAUUUUUCUAGGAAGUUGUUCCUGGCUGAUCUAAUUCUUUUUUUUUUCCCCUCACACUGAACUAGAAUAUUAAUUUCAGUUGAAAACCUUAAAUCUGAGUUCACAGCAUUAAGGUGUGAACUCAGAUUUAAGGUUUUCAACUGAAAACCUUAAAUUUAGGUUUUAUUAUUGUGUUUUAUUGUUGGAUUUUAGGACAGCUCUGAAUGAGCAGUUCCAUUUCCUGCAUUUUCUCUCUCAGUGCUGCUCCAAGACUGGAAUAUUUUCCUUGCAGGAAGAGACGAGACCUAAACCCAGGAGUGCACCAGCUGCAGCUGGGUUUUCCAGAUAAGAAAAGAAACUGAGAGAUGUAAAAAAAGAACCAGUCCAUGUUUAUCAAGUGGAAUAACUUGGCUAACUGCUCAGCUCCAGGCUGGAAAGAAAAAGUGGAAAUAACCUCACACAGAGAACCAGAGGUUAGUGCAAAAAUGUCCUUUUCACCCAUCAGGGCAGGCUGAGCAGCUUGUGCUGCACAAAGAGCUCCUGGGUGUUGCUGUGAGGUGGGAAUAAAUUAAAAAAAAAUCCCUUAGCAGCUCAUCUUAACGUGGAUUUUUGUUUUUCUGACUUUAGAGAUGUAAGGAAAGAACUGAGAAAUGUGAAAAAAGAAGUGGUCCACAUUUAUAAAGUGGGAUAGUCUGACCAGCUGCUCAGCUCUGGGGUGCAAAGAAAAAGUGGAAAUAGCCAUGGACAGAGACACAGUCCAACGGACAGAGAACCAGAGGGUUGUGCUUGUGCAAAAAUGUCAUUUCCACCCCAGCACUGCUGUCAGGGCAGGUUGAGCAGCUUGUGCUACAUGAAGAGCUGGGAAUAAAAACACCCAAAUCCCUUA